GAGGGUAUAGCUUAAGUGGUAGAGCGCAUGCAUAGCAUGCAGGAGGUCCUGGGUUCAAUCCCCAGUACCUCCU
rfam:Camelus ferus unplaced genomic scaffold scaffold632, whole genome shotgun sequence.